rnacentral:rRNA from 1 species
AUGUUUAUAUGGAGUAUCCGUGCUAAAGGGAGCAUGACUCAAAGAGGAGCUCAACAAGUGAGGGACCUUGAACCUGAAACUCUCACAGUGGAUCCAAUUGAAGAGAUAAAUGGAAUAAUUGAGCCAUCAUUAGCACUGGGUUAUGAUAACUUCUCUACAUUUCCUAAUUUCUAUCAUGACAGUUGUUGCAUUAUCUGCGGUAGAACUGUUGACUAUUCCUUUCGAGGUUAUAACUACAUAAAGUGUGAAGCAGUUGUGGGUGAGAACAACAUAUGUGGGCAUGUUGGGCACCUUGAUUGUGCUUUCCAACAUUUGUUGGCUGGAACUGUUGGAGGAGGUACUCCCAUGGAUGUACAAUACUACUGCAGGCGAUGUGAUAACAGAACCAACCUGAUGAUGCAUGUGCACAAGCUCUUGGAAACAUGUCUAUCUCUUAGAUCAAAGGAGGAAAUUAAGCCUAUCCUACAUUUGGGCAUAAAUAUCUUGAGUGGUUCAAGACAACCACAAGCAAAAAACUUGGAGAACUACAUGGGAUUAGUGAUGUCAAAGAUUAAUAGUAAGGUUGAUCUUGCUGAAGAUUGGAAAAUGGAUCAUGGUGAUGACAUGGAAAUACUGUGUGCAGAAGAUUUUCCCCACCCACUGCCAAUGCCAUGA